rnacentral:tRNA from 2 species
GCCCCUGUAGCUCAAUCGGAUAGAGCGCCGGUCUACGACACCGGAGGUUGUGAGUUCGAAUCUCGCUUGGGGCGCCA